UACGAAGGGGGCUAGCGUUGCUCGGAAUUACUGGGCGUAAAGAGCUCGUAGGCGGUCUGUCGCGUCUGCUGUGAAAACUCAGGGCUUAACCCUGAGCUUGCAGUGGGUACGGGCAGACUAGAGUGCGGGUAGGGGAGACUGGAAUUCCUGGUGUAGCGGUGAAAUGCGCAGAUAUCAGGAGGAACACCAGUGGCGGAAGGCGGCACUCUGGGCCGG
rnacentral:rRNA from 1 species